rnacentral:rRNA from 1 species
AUUGAACGCUGGCGGAAUGCUUUACACAUGCAAGUCGAACGGCAGCACGGACUUCGGUCUGGUGGCGAGUGGCGAACGGGUGAGUAAUGUAUCGGAACGUGCCCAGUCGUGGGGGAUAACGUAGUGAAAAUUACGCUAAUACCGCAUACGAUCUAUGGAUGAAAGCGGGGGAUCGCAAGACCUGCGGCGAUUGGAGCGGCCGAUAUCAGAUUAGGUAGUUGGUGGGGUAAAGGCCCACCAAGCCAACGAUCUGUAGCUGGUCUGAGAGGACGACCAGCCACACUGGAACUGAGACACGGUCCAGACUCCUACGGGAGGCAGCAGUGGGGAAUUUUGGACAAUGGGCGAAAGCCUGAUCCAGCCAUUCCGCGUGCAGGAUGAAGGCCCUCGGGUUGUAAACUGCUUUUGUACAGAACGAAAAGGUUUCUACUAAUACUAGGAGCUCAUGACGGUACUGUAAGAAUAAGCACCGGCUAACUACGUGCCAGCCGCCGCCGUAA